rnacentral:rRNA from 1 species
CGCGUAGGCGGGUCGCCAAGUCCGCUGUGAAAGCCCGGGGCUCAACCCCGGAGGGUCGGUGGAUACUGGCGGUCUUGAAGGUGCUAGGGGGAGAUGGAAUUACCGGUGUAGCGGUGAAAUGCGUAGAUAUCGGUAGGAACACCAGUGGCGAAGGCGGUCUCCUGGGGCACUCUUGACGCUGAGGCGCGAAAGCUGGGGGAGCGAACGGGAUUAGAUACCCCGGUAGUCCCAGCCCUAAACGAUGGAUACUAGGUGUCAGGGGUAUCGACCCCCCUGGUGCCGCAGCUAACGCAGUAAGUAUCCCGCCUGGGGAGUACGGCCGCAAGGUUGAA